rnacentral:lncRNA from 1 species
AUAAAGUUCCACAAAUUAUUUCAUAUAGAUUUAGUCAACGUUAGAAAAAGGUCUCCUGUAAAGUUUUCUUUUGUAUUGUUGUUUCAAGGAUUCAUCAUCGAGUAGCUCUUCAUCAUCAUCUGACAGUGAGGAUGACAAGAAAAAGAAGAAGAAGAAGAAAAAGAAGAAGAAGAAGCAGCUGAAGGAUUCAUCAUCGAGUAGCUCUUCAUCAUCAUCUGACAGUGAGGAUGACAAGAAGAAGAAGAAGAAGAAGAAAAAGAAGAAGAAGAAGCAGCUGAAGGAUUCAUCAUCGAGUAGCUCUUCAUCAUCAUCUGACAGUGAGCAUGACAAGAAAAAGAAGAAGAAGAAGAAGAAGAAGAAAAAGAAGAAGAAGAAGCAGCUGAAGGAUUCAUCUUCAUCAUCCAGCAGCUCCUCUUCCUCUGACAGCAGCAAUGAAGACAAGAAGAAGAAAAAGAAGAGGAAGAAGAAGAAGCAGCUGAAAAAGAAGGACUCAAACUCUUCAUCAUCAUCUGAUAGUGAAAAAGGGAAGAAGGACAAGAAAAAGAAGAAAGACAAGAAGAAGAAAAAAGACAAGAGAGAAAAGGUGAUGUUUUGUUUCUGCGUUCAAGACUUUACAUGUGAAGCUGCUCUUUCUGUUUACAACAGAUGUUUCUGUUUAACAUCUGAUUAA